rnacentral:lncRNA from 1 species
CUUUACAAAAGCUGUGGGAGGAAGAAUCAAAAUUCUCAGGGCCCACCAACAGUUCCAUUUUCUUAACCAUGGACUGGAAUGAAACUGAGAAGAUGAUUUCUGUAGUUGAAAGCGUCCAAAACCAACCCUAUUUCUGGGACUUUCUGCGUUCACUCCCAUGGCUGCAGACAAGCAGCCUUUACAAGGAAGGUGGGAUACGUGUUACAGCUCAGUUUCUGCAGACUGUUAAAAAUUCCUUAGCAUCCUUAGAAGAUUUAGAUGCAGUUCUAUCAAACCAAAGUUUCUACAAAGCAGUGAAAAUAGGACUGAAUAUAACCAUCACAGCACUGCG